CCUACGUGUGGCCGCAGUGGGGAAUAUUUCACAAUGGGCGCAAGCCUGAUGCAGCAACGCCGCGUGAAGGAAGAAGGGUUUCGGCUCGUAAACUUCUAUCAACAGGGACGAAAGAACUGACGGUACCUGAAUAAGAAGCCCCGGCUAACUACGUACCAGCCGCCGCGGUAAUACGUAGGGGGCAAGCGUUCGACGGAAUUGCUGGGUGUAAAGGGUGAGUAGGCGGCAUGGUAAGCCAGAUGUGAAAGCCUUGGGCUUAACCCGAGGAUUGCAUUUGGAACUAGCAAGCUAGAGUACAGGAGAGGAAAGCGGAAUUCCUAGUGUAGCGGUGAAAUGCGGAGAUAUUAGGAAGAACACCAGUGGCGAAGGCGGCUUUCUGGACUGAAACUGACGCUGAGGCACGAAAGCGUGGGGAGCGAACAGGAUUAGAUACCCGAGUAGUC
rnacentral:rRNA from 1 species